rnacentral:rRNA from 1 species
CCCUGCCCUUUGUACACACCGCCCGUCGCACCUACCGAUUGAAUGGUCCGGUGAGAUCUUGGGAUUUCGGUCUGUUUUCUUUAUUGAGAGUGGAUUGAAAGAACUUGAGCAAACCUUACCAUUUAGAG